rnacentral:rRNA from 1 species
CCUACGGGUGGCUGCAGUGAGGAAUAUUGGUCAAUGGGCGAGAGCCUGAACCAGCCAAGUCGCGUGAAGGAUGACGGCCCUACGGGUUGUAAACUUCUUUUGUCAGGGAGCAAUUGAGUCCACGUGUGGGCUUAGCGAGAGUACCUGAAGAAAAAGCAUCGGCUAACUCCGUGCCAGCAGCCGCGGUAUAACGGAGGAUGCGAGCGUUAUCCGGAUUUAUUGGUUUUAAGGGGUGCGUGGGCGGAAUAUAAAGUCAGCGGUAAAAAUUCGGGGCUCAACGCAGUCGUGCCGUUGAAACUGAUGUUCUUGAGUGGGCGAGAAGUAUGCGGAAUGCGUGGUGUAGCGGUGAAAUGCAUAGAUAUCACGAAGAACUCCGAUUGCGAAGGCAGCAUACCGGCGCCCUACUGACGCUGAAGCACGAAAGCGUGGGUAUCGAACAGGAUUAGAUACCCCAGUAGUC